rnacentral:rRNA from 1 species
UCCGGUGGCUAUAGCGGAGGGGCCACACCCGAUACCAUCCCGAACUCGGAAGUUAAGCCCUCUUGCGCCGAUGGUACUGCACAGUUUCGUGUGGGAGAGUAGGUCGCUGCCGGAG